CUCCCUGGCUCCCACGGCAGCAAGCAGCAAGCAGGGAGCAAGGCUUGCAGCCAUGGCGUCCCUCUCCUCCAGCCGCUCCCCUGGAUGGCGCCCAAGCCCUUCUUCCACCUCUGGCCGGAUCUCUGCCCAGCGCCACUUCUUUCUCUCCAUGGCCGGCGCACAGGAAGCCAGCAGCCAUGGACGCCCAGGCCCCAACGCCCUGCCUGCGUUCCUCCAUGGCGCCCAGAAUUUCUCGCAGAGGCCAGCGGCGCCCUUCUUCCUCCCCCUGGCAAGCGGCUGCAGCAGGGAGCUCGGCUCCUCCCCUCCCAUGGCGCCCCUGCUGUUGCUCGCCUUGCUUGGAUGAGGAG